CGCGAACGCUGGCGGCGUGCCUAACACAUGCAAGUCGUGCGGAGGGGUGAUGAGCCCCUCAGCGGCAAACGGGUGAGUAACACGUGAGUAACCUGCCCCUGGGAAGGGGAUAACCCUCCGAAAGGGGGGCUAAUACCCUAUAUUGCCGGGGACCACUAAGGUCACCUGGUGAAAGGUGGCCUCUGCCCUUCAUGGGUAUGCUACCGCCCAGGGAGGGGCUCGCGGCCCAUCAGGUAGUUGGUGGGGUAACGGCCUACCAAGCCUAUGACGGGUAGCCGGCCUGAGAGGGUGGCCGGCCACAGUGGGACUGAGACACGGCCCACACCCCUACGGGGGGCAGCAGUGGGGAAUCGUGGGCAAUGGGCGAAAGCCUGACCCCGCGACGCCGCGUGGGGGAUGAAGCCCUUCGGGGUGUAAACCCCUGUCGGGGGGGACGAUGUGUCCUGGGGUGAAUAAUCCCAGGGCAUGACGGUACCCCCAGAGGAAGGGACGGCUAACUACGUGCCAGCAGCCGCGGUAAUACGUAGGUCCCGAGCGUUGCGCGAAUUCACUGGGCGUAAAGCGUCCGCAGCCGGACGGGUAAGCGGUGCGUCAAAGCCCACCGCUCAACGGUGGAACGGCGUACCGAACUGCCUGUCUUGAGGCACGCUCAGGCAGGCGGAAUUCCCGGUGUAGCGGUGAAAUGCGUAGAUAUCGGGAGGAACACCGAAGGCGAAGGCAGCCUGCUGGAGCUGUCCUGACGGUCAGGGACGAAAGCUGGGGGAGCAAACCGGAUUAGAUACCCGGGUAGUCCCAGCCGUAAACCAUGGGCGCUUGGCGUCGUCUUCGUGGCGGUGCCGCAGCUAACGCGGUAAGCGCCCCGCCUGUGGAGUACGGGCGCAAGCCUGAAACUCAAAGGAAUUGGCGGGGGCCCGCACAACCGGUGGAGCGUCUGGUUCAAUUCAAUGCUAACCGAAAAACCUUACCCGGGCUUGACAUGGUGGGAAACCCUUGCGAAAGCUAAUGGUGCCGUCCUCUUGACGGAAUCCCACCACAGGUCAUGCAUCACCAUUGUCAACUCGUGUCGUCAGAUGUUGGGUUAAGUCCCUCAACGAGCGCAACCCCUGCCCUUACUUGUUACCCCGAAU
rnacentral:rRNA from 1 species